rnacentral:rRNA from 1 species
UGCGUAGGCGGCCAAUUAAGUAGGGUGUGAAAGGCUUCGGCUCAACCGGAGCAUUGCGCUCUAGACUGAUUGGCUCGAGUGAGAUAGGGGUGUGCGGAACUUCCAGUGGAGCGGUGAAAUGUGUUGAUAUUGGAAGGAACGCCGGUGGCGAAAGCGGCACACUGGGUCUUAACUGACGCUGAGGCAAGCCAGGGGAGCGAACG